AUGUUGGUCUAAGAUAUUUCUUGUCUUUGUACGAAACAGACAAGAAAAAAUCUGACAACAAGUACGACGAUCACAAGACAAAUAGUCGACGCCAGAACAGGAAAAAACAGAAAUUGAAGAGAAGAAGAGAAACACUGGAUAAGAUUGAUUGGGUUAGACGUGAAAAAGGAAAGGCAGCUGAGGUGCUCACUGAGGAAUACAUGUCAUCAGAAGUGUCGGAAUCAGGAAAAGAGUCGCUAUCUGGUGAUGAAGGGUGUUCUAAAGCAAAGAAGUUGUACAUCAAAACAGUUCCGUGGGAGAGCGAAGAUCUCAAAACAUUAAAAAGCAAACUUGAUGAAGAGUACGCCAGCCGUCAGACUUCUCGCUCUCGACGUCGCGAAUUUCAAAGAGAUAGGCGUCCUAAAGACGUUUCUUCACGUCCAAAACCUAACAACGGUCCAUCAUGGGCUUUCAAGAAGGACGAUGGGCAGUGACGUCGACAAAUAAAACCCGGAUUGGAAGGCUGAACUUUAUCUAGUAUCGAGGACACUUUCGAUGUGUACAGAAUUAUACAUUUCUUACGCAUUUUAUGAUAAGGAUCAAAUCGAAGCUAUGCAUUUUUCAAUUAAUGUUUUAGCCUUUUUUAGUGAACUUUAUCAAAAAAGGCUAAAACAUCAAUUACUGAAUGAAAGCUUCGUAGUUUUCAAUAGAUGUUUUAGUAUUUUAAUGAUGAAUGGAAGCCACGUAUUUUUAACAGAUGGUUUAGUAUUUUAUGAUAAAUGGAAGCUGCGCAUUUUUCAGUAAAUGUCUAAGGUAAAUUAAAGAUUAUUAGAUUAUUUAGGCUUAUUUAUUUAUUUUAUUUAUUUAGGCUUUCAGUAGGAUUCAUGCUCUUAUUACGUAAUGCGUAUUACGUAAUGCGUAUCACGCUAUUUUAGUGAAUAGCUCUUAUGUAAGCUUCUGGAAUGUGCUAGAACAUUUUGUGAAAAUAUAUAAAAACUUACUUAGUCUUAAGCACGAAACUCAGAGUCACGGAGAAUCGAUGCGUCCUCUUUAAUUCUUUAACUUAUGUAUACUUAGCUCUGCUACCACAGCAUUGAGCACUUUAUGCCAAGGUAGACUCUACCCUCACAUUCAUUUAUAAAGACUUACUUAUGUAGUAGUAGUAGUAAUAGUUGUUGUUGUCGGAGCGACAACUGUUUUGAAGGCCAUACUGAGAGAGAGUUACUGCGGAAGAUUGCUCAUUUCAAGGAACUUUGGAGACAGUAGUGAGAUUGUGUUAGUGGUGAGGUAGGAUAUAGACUGUGGUGGGCUUAAUUAAAUUUAUUAACGAUGAUUAUUGUACUGCUUUAAGGAAUCGCUCCUUCUUAAGAACAUUACUCCCUGUUUAAUAAAGUAGUUGAGCUUGUGGGA